CAUCCCUAAAAGGGCUGACUCCCCAGGUGGAUUAAGUGAGCUGUCUUGUUGGCUGUUUGGUCCUUGUUUUUACUGGAAACUGAUCUGUCUUGCCAAGGUGUUGAGAAGAGGGGAUUUCUCCUUUCUCCUCUGUCCAGGCCAAUGAGUAGGGGCAGUGACUUGGCCAGACUCACCUUCCCCUUGGGUUGUCUGUAGCUGAGUUGAUUGUGGGGAGUUGGCCAUUUGUCUUCCAAGCUAGCUUUAUUUGUAAUAAGAUGGUAUCUUGUGCUCUAUCUCUGCCUCUGCUAUUUUAUUUCUUUUGUUUUUAAAUUGGUUUAAGACUCAGUCAGGAAAAAGGAAUCUUUUUUUAGGCUCUCUCCAAACCCUACAAGUUCUGCCAAUGACUUACUCUGUAAAUUGAGUCAAACUGCUUUGUACCUCCAUUUCUCCACCAGCAGACUGGAGCUGUAACAAUGGCAACUGGAUACGGGUAAAAGAAAGUGCCAUAAAUUAUUGGCAGAAAGAUGUAACUGCUGGCCCUACACCCCACGGUAGUAUUAUAAUCACUGUUUGGUAACAUUUUCUAAAUCUUAUUCAAGAACCUUGCUGCUGUAACACAUUGAUUCACUUUGGCUGGCGCCACAUGCUCCCAUCUGCUCUGAGUGGUGUAAUUGCUCUCAGUCAUCAACAUUAAGCACCCACAGCUAAUUCGUGGGGAAAGGCUCCAACCCCAUGGACCCAAAUUCAACUUAUCUGUCAAUUUGCUCCUGUGGAAAGGAGUCCAGUCACUCAGCAUGUUGCUUCCUCUUGUCUUGGGAAUUGAUCAUGAUCCAUUCAGGGCACUACAACUCAACUUCCCUGACUUGGAUGUACUUAUAAGGAAUUGGUGUCCUAAAGUGUUCUACAAGGAAGCAGCUGCUUGCAAAAUGAAUUAAAGACAUUUUACAGGAGUAAUUAUCUAACAGAGGAUGGAAGAAGUCACUAGAAUUAAGAAACUAUCCAGUUACCAGCAGUCAUGCCGCUCAUUAUCAGCCAACCUGGAUUUAGCCAGGAGGGGAGCUGCCAUAUGAGAAGUCCAAAUCCUUUGGAAUACCAUGGUGUGAGGAAGCCCUGACCACAUGGAGAGACAGUGAAUGCACUCAGUUCACCACCUCAGAUGAGCCCCCACCUUCAAUGUCCAGCCUCAGCUGCUCUCUGACUACAACUACAUGAAAGACCCCACACAAGGAGGCUCGCUGAGCUCAGUCAACCUUGCUGGAAGAAGCUGACAUAAUGAUGGAGCAGAAAAAAUAAAAAGAAUGGAAGUCCUUGAUGGUGAUGCUGAAUCAGCCAACCCUCAAUUCUACCUAUCCUCUGAACUACCAGACCUUCAAGGACUCAUGCACAUGAGGAGAAUCAUUGGAGGAUGGAGCUUGCCUACCCGACCAAGUUCUAGUCAUGUGAAGGCAGCCAUGAGUCACCAACUAAGAAUCCUGGCAUCACUUUAUUGAUGGGCACAGCAGCCCCCUGGGAAUCAUGGGCCAAUUUUCAUGAGUUUAUCUGCUUCUGGACCAAGGAUGCAGACUUACACCUUUGGUACAGACACAGACGUCUGUUGGUGACGACAGUGUCAGCAUACCCUGGAAAGCCUACACCCGUUAGUCCGUUACUUUAAUAUUACUAGUUAAGAGAACAUGGGACAUACUAAGGCUAUUUUAAUAUUUCUUCUAGAAGACUCAACUGUCUCAUAAGUAGUUUGUAGCAGGAACUUUUAGUCAACUUUGAAGAAAAACACCUGCCAGUGACAUGGUCGAUAACAAACAACAAGAAUAUCACGUACAGGGCUGAUGGACUCCGCUCUCAGUGUAUAAUAUGUUAUGAAAUUUACAAGGUGUUAAUCAAUGACUACCCUACUAUAAAAAUAUAAGGUGGACAAGGUGGGCAUUGACAAAUAUGCAGGGCCUUUUAAGUCAUACUGCAAGGUGUUAUCAUUGUUCCUAAUUAGUAAGGAUAUUUAAACAUACAAACAAAAUUUUAAUUUUUGGAAAAGUGUUUUUUGGGAGUUAUUGUGCCAGUCUUUGAACAUGACCAACAGUAUAUUUCUAUCCAGUUUAAAAGAUAUUCAGUUUUAAAAUAUAUUAAUAUUAAUAACAUUUCAUUUUUGUAUAAUUAACUUAGGAAAGUUGUGCUUCUCUUUGGAAAAUCUCAGCUCCUUUACUACCGUGAACUUUGAUAAAUACUGUGGAUGUACCUAAAAAUGUGGAGAUUUUCCAACAAUAUUUUCCAACAUAUUAUUUCUAGUAAUCUUCUUUUGUAAGGAAGGGGAGCAAAUCUUUGAUAUUAUCCAAACUGGAAAAUUCCAAAGGCUAGUUUAUAUUAUAAGGAUGAAUUAUUAUUUUUUUUUAAUGUGGGGCCUAAAUUGGGAAAGGCACUAUCCAAAAUAUUUAUCAGAGAAAGUAAGAUAUGAGCUUAGGUCAUAGGUGACUAAAGGCAGAAAAUGAUUAGACUCAGACAAAAUAGGAAAUAACAAAGCUAACUAAUUAUUAGAAAUUCUAGCCUUUUCAAAAGUGGACUUUUGUUCAAACUGACUCAAAAACAAAUAAAGCAAGAACAGAGAGUUAUGAUGUUACUGAGUACAGAGAAAGUAUAGAAUGAUCUUUACUGUUUCUUGUUAAGAGCAAACUGUUACCCAAAGAUCAAUCUGUCGUGUUCUCAGGAAGAGUACUAAAUUCUAGUUUUACUCUUUUUGUAUAUUACUCAUGUGACAUUUUUCUUUAAAGGAUUUGCAGCCUUUUAUCUGUCUGGGGUCCACAAGCUGGGGCCCACAGGUCAAACCUGGCCACAUU